rnacentral:rRNA from 1 species
GACGAACGCUGGCGGCGUGCUUAACACAUGCAAGUCGAACGGAAAGGCCCUGCUUUUGUGGGGUGCUCGAGUGGCGAACUUGUGAUUAACACGUGAGUAACCUGCCCUUGACUUUGGUUUAACUUCAGGAAACUGGGGCUAAUACCUGAUAGGAGCUCCUUCUGCAUGGUGGGGGUUGGAAAGUUUCGGCGGUUGGGGAUGGACUCGCGGCUUAUCAGCUUGUUGGUGGGGUAGUGGCUUACCAAUGCUUUGACGGGUAGCAGGCCUGAGAGGGUGACCGGCCACAUUGGGACUGAGAUACGGACGAGAAUACUAAGGGAGGCAGAAGUGGGGAAUAUUGGAAAAUGGGAGGAAGACUGAUGCAGCAACGCGGCGUGCGGGAUAACGGCCUUAGGGUUGUAAACCGCUUUCGCCUGUGACGAAGCGAGAGUGACGGUAAUGGGUAAAGAAGCACCGGCUAACUACGUG